AAGUGAGUGACACAGCCAAUAUUUGAGCCCGGGGCCUUGGGAGUGCGCCGUGGGACUGCUUCUCAAGCAGAAAGCUGUCUUCCCCAGCAGAAACAGAAGAGGCACUGAGGUUUCCUGCUGCCCAGCUAAAUAUUCAUUCCAGUCAGUCAUUCCCCAAAUGUUUUGGGUGCACCUAUCAAAUGAGCACCAGGGCCUCUACAAACAAAACACGCUCAAUAAAUGUCAAUUACUGUGGAACCUUCAGCAAAUUACCUCACAUCUCAACCUGCUUCUUGAAAAUGGGGCAGGAGAAGCUUGGGUUCUGCCCAUAUCCAAACACUCCAAAGGGAAAGGACUGUAAUAGGAUGUCUAUAUUUAUUGACAGUGCUACCCAUCACCCAAUUGGAAAUCUAAGUAACUGAAGCCCCACUUGGUUAUCUGACCUGGAGCAGAGACCCUCUCAACUACAUCACAAACGAAUAGUCAUCCAACCUUUAUCUGAACUUCUCGAGUGAUAAUGAAUUCGCUAGGUGGAAAGAGCAAAAGGGCUUGGAUCAGAAGGGAUUGAGUUCAAAUCCAGCCUCAAACACUUAUUAGCAGUGUGACCCUAGGCACUUCACCUGUGUCUGCCUCAGUUUCCUCUACUGUAAAAUAAAGAUUAUGAUAGUACCUACUCUCCA
rnacentral:lncRNA from 1 species